AUUGAACGCUGGCGGCAGGCCUAACACAUGCAAGUCGAACGAGUGGCGGACGGGUGAGUAUUGUCUGGGAAACUGCCUGAAGGAGGGGGAUAACUUCUGGAAACGGUAGCUAAUACCGCAUACCGUCAAGUGUACCCUGAUGGGAUUAGCUAGUUGGUGGGGUAACGGCUCACCAAGGCGACGAUCCCUAGCUGGUCUGAGAGGAUGACCAGCCACACUGGAACUGAGACACGGUCCAUACUCCUACGGGAGGCAGCAGUGGGGAAUAUUGCACACUGGGCGCAAGCCUGAUGCAGCCAUGCCGCGUGUAUGAAGAAGACCUUCGGGUUGUAAAGUACUUUCAGCGGGGAGGCGUUACCCGCAGAAGAAGCACCGGCUAACUCCGUGCCAGCCGCCGCGGUAAUUC
rnacentral:rRNA from 1 species